rnacentral:lncRNA from 10 species
GGUCAGAAGUCUGGUUUUUAAGUUCACAGUCUGAGACACAUGAAGUAUGCAACUCACAGCUAACCAUUAGGAAAGGAGGUGAAGUAAUCUGCUGGAGAAGGGCCAGGAAUGUAAGAUGAGAGAUUUAAGGAGAGUGGAAGAGUGGCUUAACAACAACAACAGUAACAAAGAAGCAUUGUUGAGGCUCCAUUGGAAACUGGUCAUGAAUGUGGUAGAACCAAGCUACCAUGUCAUGUGACACAGAAGUAAAUAGUUGGGCUCACCAAACUUCAUGCUUUGUGCAGGGGUGUUGGAACCCUUUGAAGAAGUGUGUAGCUAAUAGCCCAUACAUAAUUCAGAAGAAGUCUUCAAUGGAAGACCCCCGGGGGAUAAAUGGACAGUCUGUCAAGUGGGAUCAUGGAUUCAAAUGUUCUUUGAAAAUGAAAAGUGCAACAUAACUCUAAUUCACUUUUUAUUGGAAACAUCUCCAGAAAAAUGAAUAAACGACCAUGAAUAAAAAAUUAUCUGGCCACCUGCAAGUCUACAAUACAAUUUUAAAAAUGUGACCAUCACACCUGCAUCAGGUAUUAUAAACACUAACCCUGCAUAUGUUUGAUCAUGAUGUUGUCAGCUCAUGCAUUGGGGGGUGGAAUUAGGUCUCCUAAGACUCUAAAAGGAGCAUUUUGUUAUAAAUGGUAGAUACUUAACUUACUUUUCUUUCAAAAAAUUUAGAUGAUGAUAUUCUAGAUCUUUGUGGACUAAUUUUACUUUAGGGCUCCAUUGUACUCUCAUAA